rnacentral:rRNA from 1 species
CAGAGGUUACUGCUMUYGAGRKUCGACUAAGCCAUGCGAGUUGAAUGUUCUUCGUGAACAUGGCGGACUGCUCAGUAACACGUGGACAACCUACCCUUGGGUCCGGCAUAAUCCUGGGAAACUGGGAAUAAUUCCGGAUAGGUCACCGAUGCUGGAAUGCGCGGUGGCCGAAAGCUCCGGCGCCCGAGGAUGGGUCUGCGGCCUAUCAGGGUUGUAGUGGGUGUAACGUACCUACUAGCCUACGACGGGUACGGGUUGUGAGAGCAAGAGCCCGGAGAUGGAUUCUGAGACACGAAUCCAGGCCCUACGGGGUGCAGCAGGCGCGAAAACUUUACAAUGCGGGAAACCGUGAUAAGGGGAUCUCGAGUGCCAGCAUAUAAUGUUGGCUGUCCAGAUGCCUAAAAAGCAUCUGUUAGCAAGGGCCGGGCAAGACCGGUGCCAGCCGCCGCGGUAACACCGGCGGCCCGAGUGGUAACCGCUAUUAUUGGGUCUAAAGGGUCUGUAGCCGGCCAGGUAAGUCCCUUGGGAAAUCUGGCAGCUCAACUGUCAGGCUGCUAGGGGAUACUGUUUGGCUUGGGACCGGGAGAGGUGAGAGGUACCUUGGGGGUAGGGGUGAAAUCUUGUGAUCCUCGAGGGACCACCAGUGGCGAAGGCGUCUCACCAGAACGGGUCCGACGGUAAGGGACGAAAGCUAGGGGCACGAACCGGAUUAGAUACCCGGGUAGUCCUAGCCGUAAACGAUGCUCGCUAGGUGUCAGUCACGGUGCGACCGUGAUUGGUGCCGUAGGGAAGCCGUGAAGCGAGCCACCUGGGAAGUAUGGCCGCAAGGCUGAAACUUAAAGGAAUUGGCGGGGGAGCACUACARCSSGUGGAGCCUGCGGUUUAUUG